AUGAACGCUGGCGGCGUGCCUUAAGCAUGCAAGUCGAACGAAAGCUGUAGCAAUACAGUUUUAGUGGCAGACGGGUGAGUAACGCGUAGGAAUCUACCCCUAGGUAAAGCAUAGCCCCGCGAAAGCGGGGGUAAUACUGUAUGGUCUCGCAAGAGUAAAGACCUUAACUGGUCGCCAAGGGAGGAGCCUGCGUCCUAUCAGCUAGUUGGUGAGGUAAUGGCUUACCAAGGCAAUGACGGGUAGCUGGACUGAGAGGUCGAUCAGCCACAACUGCACUGAGACACGGGCAGUACACCUACGGGUGGCAGCAACUAGGAAUAUUGGGCAAUGGACGAAAGUCUGACCCAGCGACGCCGCGUGGAGGAAGACGGCCUUCGGGUUGUAAACUCCUUUUGCCAAGCUCUUCACAGCUUGGAGAAUAAGCCCCUACUAACUACGUGCCAGAAGUCUCGGUGAUUGCGUAGGGGGCAAGCGUUAUCCGGAUUUAUUGGGCGUAAAGUGUGCGUAGGCGUUCUAUAAAGUCUUUACUUAAAGACCAAGGCUUACCCUUGGGGUUGGUAGGGAUACUGAUAGAAUUGAGGAUUGACAGGGGUGCUGGAACAGAUAGUGUAGCAGUGAAAUGCGUUGAUAUUAUCUGGAACACCAAAGGCGAAGGCAGGCACCUGGGUUUUUCCUGACGCUGAGGCACGAAAGCUAGGGAGCGAAACAGAUAGAUACCUGUGUAGUCCUAGCCGUAAACGAUGUCUGCUAGGUAUUACUCGCAAAGUGCAGAAGCACUUUGCGAGAAAUUCUAAGCACUAAUAUCUAAAUACUAAAUAAUUUUGAAUUCUUAAAAUUAAAAUUGUUUAGAUUUUUGGAUUUAGAAUUUAGGAUUUCUCGCAAAAACUUCUGUUUUUUUGCGAGUGGUGCCGCAGCUAACGCGUUAAGCAGACCGCCUGGGGAGUACGGCCGCAAGGCUAAAACUCAAAGGAAUUGACGGGGACCCGCACAACCAGUGGAGCGUGUGGUUCAAUUCGAGACGAAACGAAAAACCCUCACCAAGCUUGACAUGCUACCGUACAGUCCCGCAGAAACGUGGGACAAUCCGCAAGGAUGGUAGCACAGGUGUUGCAUGGCUGUCCGUCAGCUCGUGCCGUGAGGUGUUCCCUUAAGUGGGGAAACGAGCGCAACCCCCCAUCCAAUGUUACAUUGUUCAUUGGAAACUGACCCUAUUUUGUAGGGAAGGAAGGAGGGGAAGACGUCAAGUCAGCACGGGCCCUUAUGCCUUGGGCUACACACACACUACAAUGGCGAAUAACAACGAGCUGCAAGCCGGUAACGGCAAGCGAAUCUCUAAAAUUCGCCUCAGUUCAGAUUGAGGUCUGCAACUCGACCUCAUGAAGCCGGAAUUGGUAGUAAUCGCAGAUCGGCAUGCUGCGGUGAAUACGUUCUCGGGUCUUGUACACACCGCCCGUCAAGGCAGCAAAGUCGGUAGCUAUCGAACACUGGCCGUUCAGCCGGUGGAGAUAGAGAUUGGCGAUGAGGCUU
rnacentral:rRNA from 1 species